rnacentral:rRNA from 1 species
UACGUAGGGCGCAAGCGUUAUCCGGAAUUAUUGGGCGUAAAGAGCUCGUAGGCGGUUUGUCGCGUCUGCCGUGAAAGUCCGGGCUCAACUCCGGAUCUGCGGUGGGUACGGGCAGACUAGAGUGAUGUAGGGGAGACUGGAAUUCCUGGUGUAGCGGUGAAAAUGCGCAGAUAUCAGGAGGAACACCGAUGGCGAAGGCAGGUCUCUGGGCAUUAACUGACGCUGAGGAGCGAAAGCAUGGGGGAGCGAACAGG